rnacentral:rRNA from 1 species
UACGUAGGGGGCAAGCGUUGUCCGGAAUCAUUGGGCGUAAAGAGCGUGUAGGCGGCUCGGUAAGUCCGCUCUGAAAGCCCGGGGCUCAACCCCGGGAGGCGGGCGGAUACUGUCGGGCUAGAGUCCGGAAGAGGCGAGUGGAAUUCCUGGUGUAGCGGUGAAAUGCGCAGAUAUCAGGAGGAACACCAGUGGCGAAGGCGCUG